rnacentral:misc_RNA from 1 species
CCGAGUUAUCCAACUCCCAACCCCUGUGAAUUAUACCUUUAAUUGUUGCUUCGGCGGGACUUCGCGCCCGCCGGGGACCCAAACCUUCUGAAUUUUUUAGUAAGUAUCUUCUGAGUGGUUAAAAAAAAUGAAUCA